rnacentral:rRNA from 1 species
CCUACGGGAGGCAGCAGUAGGGAAUAUUGCUCAAUGGGGGAAACCCUGAAGCAGCAACGCCACGUGGAGGAUGAAGGUUUUCGGAUUGUUAACUCCUUUUGUUAGAGAAGAUAAUGACGGUAUCUAACGAAUAAGCACCGGCUAACUCCUGGCCAGCAGCCGCGGUAAUACGGAGGGUGCAAGCGUUACUCGGAAUCAAUGGGCGUAAAGAGCGCGUAGGCGGGAUAGCAAGGCAGAUGUGAAAUCCUAUGGCUUAACCAUAGAACUGCAUUUGAAACUGUUAUUCUAGAGUAUGGGAGAGGUAGGUGGAAUUCUUGGUGUAGGGGUAAAAUCCGUAGAGAUCAAGAGGAAUACUCAUUGCGAAGGCGACCUGCUAGAACAUAACUGACGCUGAUGCGCGAAAGCGUGGGGAGCAAACAGGAUUAGAUACCCUUGUAGUC